GCGUUCCUGCCACGGCCGAUGUGGAAACAGGCACUGUGGCAACAGGAAGCAGAAGUGAGGCUGUGCCGCAGGCUGACAUUGUGAUGCAACAAAAUGUAUCUGCUGGACCAUCCUGAGGACCAAACGAGAUUCUGAAGGAUCCUUCAAACUGGAAGAUCCCACUGACGUGACUGCUGGGGAGACCACCUUUGAACCAAUAUGUAUCACUCUGAGCAAGAAGCACAACACAAUCUACCAGGGAGAGAUGAACUUCGAUGCAGCAAAUCUUGUCAUGGUGUUUCGUCGCCUUUGCCUGCAGGAGGUCUGUCAGUCCCACGGCUUUGACGUACCCGCUGCCGAAUUGCCGCC